AAUAGAGGAACUCAGUCUAAGGACGCCACGUCCUGUGGCAACGACUGAGUGUUGACCUAAAGC
rnacentral:sRNA from 1 species